UGGAGACUGAGGACAAGCCAGAGGCCACUUCCCAAAUGGCACUCUCAUCUAAGAGCCCCCCGCCAAACAGGGGAUUCUUGUCAGGAUCCCAUUUCCAGCUUCAGACUCUCCCUGAUCACUUCUGAGACCUCAGGAACAGCAUAAUGACAACAGGCCUGGGCCAAAUGAAUCCAGCCGCUCAUUGAGGUGCAGCAAAAGAUGAAGUCUACAAUGAAACUGAUACAACAUGUUAGAUUCUUAGUUACUUAUGACCACCUGGAAAUCAAAGCACCAUUUCAUUAUGCCUUUCUAACCUUGCCCUCAAAGCCUCCUUCAGCUGCCUCUUCACUUGGUUACUGAUGCAAGACUUUUGAUUACGAAGAACCUUUCACCCAGAAUUUCAUUGCAAGAACCCUGGAAACUCUGACUUUGAAAUGAUCUUGCGAGGAAGAUUUGGCAGUGGCUGUGAGGAUAGAGUGACCAAUGCAGAAAUAAUGAGAAACCGAAACCUGAAGGUACAUCACCAGGAAAGCCAAGGAUGAGCGUGUGCAUGACAGAAGAUCGAUGCACACUGAAGAUGAUGGAACGAGUUUCAAUGAGGAGGAGGAGGAGAAUGAAUCAGGUCAAGUAGCUGGGUGCAGGAUAGUUCAGAAUAGUGUUUCCCAAUAUGCGGGGGGGGGGGCAUGGAUACUUGUAGGUAAGUGUACCUUAUGGUUACAUAGUGUGUAUGCAUCAUGUAUGUAAGCCCUUACACAGCACAAUCAAAGAAGAAUCACUCGCCUCUAUCACACGUCUCCCUACUGAGAGGUGGUGAGAAGCCACCAUGGACUUGAUCUCCAGGUUAGUCAGAGUUGAUAUUUUUAUUUCAUGUUAAUUUUAAUUUAUGUUUAUUUCAAGUUAUAUUAGACAUAUAUACUGUUGUUGUUAUUGCUGCUGCUUUUUGUUUCUGGUCAUGCACUGAAAUAAAGUUACAACUACUACUGCUA